rnacentral:rRNA from 1 species
AAAUAAUUUAACGGCCGCAGUAUUUUGACUGUGCUAAGGUAGCAUAAUAGCUUGUCUCUUAAUUAGAGUCUAGUAUGAAAGAUAAAAUAAAUUCUAGCUUUCCCUCUUUUAAAAAUUUAAUUUUAUUAUUAAGUUAAAAAGCUUAAAUACAUAAAAAAGACGAUAAGACCCUAUGAAAUUUUAUUAUAAUAAAAUUUUUCUCAUAAUUUACAAAGAAUUAGCUUAAUUUGAAAAUGAUUUAGUUGGGGCGACUUUAAUUUAAAAAUAAACAAUUAAACUCCUUAAUAAGAAAAACUUAAAUUCAUGUAGAACCUUACUUAGUUUGCUUGAUUAAAUUACUCUAGGGAUAACAGCGUAAUUUCUCUGGAGAGCCCUUAUCGAUAGAGGA